GGGGCCGACCUGGUUUCGACGUGGGUUGCGAAGCAAGCAGGGCAUGCCGAGGAUCGGUUCACCUCGUAAAUCCAUCCGAAAACUAGAUAGUCGCCAACGACGAAUCUUACGCCCUGGCCGCUUAAGGCUAGGCGCUGCACCGAUCGCUCUGCGGGUCGGGCCGGGUAACCGGUCGCAGCGUCAUUAACAGCAGAAGUAAGGGUGUGUCUGGCCGCGCGGCACAUCACGAAAAUUCAGCGGAUCGCUCUGCCUCAGCCUGCCCGUCGGCGGUUGCAGGGCUAGAUCAAACGACUCGGCUACGCAUGUAGAACUGUUUGUGGAGGGCUUGCGGACGCGGGUUCGAUUCCCGCCGGCUCCACCA
rnacentral:tmRNA from 1 species